UUAUCUGUGUCUAAAUGGCAUGCCCAGCUCUGCAAUUUCUCAAAUGAGACAUUUUUAGAACUUUAUUUAUGUUACAGCCAUAACAAACUAGCAACUAGAAAACUAUAAUGGGCACAAACGGCUAAUAAAAAUGAGAUUGUUGAAAAAUACUUCUUAAUAGCAAUUUACAAAGGAUCCUGAUAAAACAGAACUGAGGCUCUGUUUCCCUGGAUGUUUGCCACUACUGUAAUCACAGUCAUUUGGCAACAGGUACUCCCCCUCUUCCAUCUUCUGUGACCAUUUCCCUCUGAAUAUGCUGAGAGCCAAGUACCCUGAGGUUACUCCCUGCUUUGCCAUUAGUCACUUAGUGCCUACUGAUGCAUAGACACAGAGCAGCAAUUCCCCUUUUCUCUCCCCUUACCAUGCAUGGGAUGACCUGACAGAGGAGUCAUCCUGAAGGGUUUAUCGCAAGCUCAGAGGAGAAUAGAGCAGCAAGGCAGUAUCUGUCCUACACAUGCAGAGGGUGCCCCUUUUGCUUCUGAAACCUGCAUCACCUCUUUGAUGAACUGAUCUGUUUACACAGACUGGCUAAGACGAGUAGGUCAAGCUCUCUGUUUAUAGUCUGAAAAUUAUUUUGCCAUGAGCUCCCAAAGCAAAGAACUGGGGACUGAACUGAUUUCUUUUGAAGGACAACUUCUGUGAGUUUAGAGAAUGUCUGUGUGACUGUUCAGAUGAUGUCAUGAAGAAACUUUCUGCCACCCAAGGAAGAGAUGCUGUCUCCCAGAUACAGACUCAUCUGCUGCAGACCUACUGGUUAGAAAAGGGAGAAAAGGGCAAAGCAGCAAGUUCUAGUCAAGCAACAGGAACUGCAGAAACAGCAUCAGUUUAGAGCUGAGCUAAUCAAAGAACAUGGAUUAGCCUGACCUGUGAACAGCUGAGCUUCCACUCUACAGGCAGUGUCUCACUCAGAUAUUGGCAUUAGAAAAUGCAGAGCUCCUGUUAUCACAUGUGAAAGGCCCUCUACUCCUGCCUCUGUGGGAGCAAGGAUGUUAACACUCAAGAGAAUGAACCUUUGGUGUGAAUGCUUUUUGGCCUCUACCUGAAGCAGAGUGGUGAGAAGAUGAGAGGUUCUCCCAGAGUGGCAAUCUGCUGUAUUCCUACUGCCUCUAGCGAUGCAAAACGGCCACUUGGCGGGAGAGAAGAGAGAUGCUGUUGGAAACAUCUAUCUCCAGAGGGGAACUUUUCUUCCUUCUUCCCAGAAGAGGCAAUAUAGACUCAUGCUGUUUUGCAAAUGCCAUGAAUACAUACAGAUCACAAUCUCUCACUGGCUGAUGAUUAAAUUGCAUUUUGGACACAAACAACUGUGGCCAACAUCUCUCAAAGUAGAUAGAAUGUGGACCAAUAAGAGUAAUUUAAAUAUAAUGGGUCCAUUAUUUAUUUAUUUAUUUAUUUAUUUAUUUAUUCAUAAUUAAAAGAGAGUUACACAAGAUUUCUCCUGUAAAAGUA